CUGAACCUAGAUCAAUAUGCUCUGGGACGUGACAUGAUCUGCUCGCUGAAGGGAUGGAAACCUGGCUGAGAGUACAGGCCCCUGGGACGCAGAACAGGGAUAAACCUCAGGGCCCGUGAAAAAAGUGAAGAAAAAAAGAAAAAGUCAAGAAAGACGCCAGCCCAAGGCCAAUGAAGAUGAUAAAACUAUCAAAUCAUGCCUGACUGCAUCUAUGAUGUUGUAACCCUGCUGUUGAUAAUAAGCGAGAAGUGGAAUAUGAUCAGUCUUCAGAGAGCGGACGCGGCUGCAAGAUGGAGAAACUGCAAGUGUUAGGUCUGGAUGAAGUUAUUACAAAACCUUUUUGGAAACAGUAACAUGAAUCGGUUAAGUAUUACUAAUAAUUAUGAAAAAUUAUGCCACAUUACAGUUCAUUAUGAAUACCUGUAUAACGCAUCCUUCACUCUUUUCCCUAAAAUUAUUUUUCUCUUCUAUAUGUUUUGAUCCACAAUUGGCCCUGGAAAGGAAAUGUGGAUUAAAAGCCCUCCUCUGAACACUAGCUGACAGAUGCUAGUUUAAUGAUGUCAAAACAUGCUAUCAGUCGCCAUCGCUUCCACUGAGCUGGAUACUGACAGAUCC
ensembl:lncRNA